rnacentral:lncRNA from 1 species
UGUGGGUCUCUAUGGGGUCUCUAUGCAUCCCUAUGCAUCCCUAUGGGUCCCUAUGGGGUCCCUAUGGGUCUCUAUGGGACUCUAUGGGUCUUUAUGGGUCUCUAUGGGUCUCUAUGGGGUCCCUAUGCAUCCCUCUGGGUUCGUAUGGGUCUCUAUGGGGUACCUAUGGGGUCCCUAUGGGUCUCUGUAGGUCCCUAUGGGUCCCUAUGCGACCCAAUGGGUCCCUAUGGGUCUCUAUGGGGUCCCUAUGGGUCUCUAUAGGUCUCUAUGGGACUCUAUGGGUCCCUAUGCAUCCCUCUGGGUUCCUAUGGGUCUCUAUGGGGUACCUAUGGGUCCCUAUGGGUCCCUAUGCAUCCCUAUGGGUCCCUAUGGGUCUCUAUGGGGUCUCUAUGGGGUCCCUAUGGGUCUCUGUAGGUCCCUAUGGGGCCCUAUGCGUCCCUAUGGGUCUCUAUGGGUCUCUAUGGGUCUCUAUGGGACUCUAUGGGUCCCUAUGCAUCCCUCUGGGUUCCUAUGGGUCUCUAUGUGGUCUCUAUGGGGCCCCUAUGCGUCCCUAUGGGUCCCAAUGGGUCUCUGUGGGUCCCUAUGGGUCUCUGUAGGUCCCUAUGGGUCUCAAUGCGUCCCUAUGGGUCCCUAUGGGUCUCUAUGGGGUCCCUAUGUGUCCCUAUGAGUCUACAUGGGUCCCUAUGUGUCCCUAUGGGUCUCUAUGGGGUCCCUAUGUGUCCCUAUGAGUCUACAUGGGUCCCUAUGGGUCCCUAUGGGUCUCUAUGGGGUCCCUAUGGGUCUCUGUGGGUCCCUAUGGGUCUCUAUGCGUCCCUAUGGGUCCCUAUGGGUCUCUAUGGGAUCCCUAUGGGUCUCAAUGCGUCCCUAUGGGUCCCUAUGGGUCUCUAUGGGGUCCCUAUGUGUCUCUGUGGGUCCCUAUGGGUCUUUAUGGGUCUCUAUGGGGUACCGAUGGGUCCCUAUGGGUCUCUAUGCGUCCCUAUGGGUCUUCAUGGGUCGCUAUGGGUCUCUAUGGGUCUCUAUGGGUCCCUAUGGGUCCAUAUGCAUCCCUCUGGGUCCCUAUGGGUCUCUAUGGGGUCUCUAUGUGGUCCCUAUGGGUCUCUGUAUGUCCCUAUGGGUCCCUAUGCGUCCCUAUGGGUCCCUAUGGGUCUCUAUGGGGUCUCUAUGGGGUCUCUCUAUGGCUCUCUAUGGCUCUCUAUGGGGUCUCUAUGGGGUCUCUAUGGGGUCUCUAUGGAGUCUCUCUAUGGGGUCUCAAUGGGGUCUCAUUAUGGCUCUCUCUGUGGGAUCUCUGUGGGGUCUCUAUGGGGUCUCCAUGGGGUCUCUAUGGCUCUCUAUGGCUCUUUAUGGGGUCUCUAUGGGCUGUCUAUGGGGUCUAUAUGGGGUCUCUAUGGGGUCUCUAUGGGGUCUCCAUGGGGUCUCUAUGGGUCUCUACGGCUCUCUAUGGGGUCUCUAUGGGGUCUCUAUGGGGUCUCUAUGGGCUCUCUCUAUGGGGUCUCUAUGGCUCUCUAUGGCUCUUUAUGG